GGAGGGGCCCGCGCGUGCGCGGCUGGAGGCGGAGUGAUCCGGCGGCGCGCACGGCCUGGGGGGGUUCCCGCCAGAACCCAAAACCAGAGACCGGGUCGCGGGACUCGCGAGUCCGCGUCCGCGCCCGCCGGCGCCCUCACGUCAACAGGCCGCAAAAGGCUGAGGAAGAAAGGGUUCGAGAGCGCCAAGCCUCGGUCUCUCCCCCAAGUGGACUGUGGCGGGCACACGCCCGGGCUGUUCGUCUCAUGCACCCUUUCCUCUUCCUCUCCCCUGAGGGGAGGCAGGUUGGUGGGCGGGCAGAAGCGCACCUGGGUCCGUCCUCUCGGGGUUUGUUCGCUCACGCACGCGUGCGCAGAAGGGCAGGAGGGCGAGGAAGACGCGCGGAGACCAGAGGCCACCCGGCCUGACACCCUCCCCCCGCCCCCCGCUCGGGUCUCUAUGGGCGCGCGCAGGUAGCCUCGCUCGCUCGUUCGCUCGCUCGCUCACCGGCCCCGGGGCCCCGGCUGGAGGUGCGCGCGCAGCACCCCGGGAAGGUGGGAAGAGGCACUCGGAGGUGCGCGCGCAGCCACCCGUCAGGGGAGGGGGCACUGGGACGCCUCCGCCAUCUUGUCUCCCUCUCCUUACCUGCGUCCUCGGGGGCGUGCUCACCACCCCCCCUCCCGCCGAGGAGGGGGGAGGGCCCCCUCCUGGUCGCCGCCUUCACCGCUCUAAAUUCCCCUAAGGGCCGCAGCUAGAGCCGCCCCCGUGCUCGCACCGCUCCUGGUCCCGCCACGGAGAUGCGAUCAGUAAGUUGCAGGAAAAGGAGACGCUACUCCCAGCGACCCCGCCGCCGCCGCCGCCGCUCCCGAGGCCUCACCAAAAUGGCCGCCGCCUUCUCGGCCGCCACCGCCACUACCACCACUACCACCACCAAGGCUCGUUAUCGCUACCGCCGGAGCGGCCCGUCUUCUCGCGAUACACAGUAACUGGAGGCUGGAGGGGCGGGUAGGCUCGCGUGCUAGCGUAGGACUCUUGUCUGGAGCGCAAAGCAAGAUGGGAGUUGUAGUCAGUUCCCCAGUUCCGUGCUUGCCCGGCACGCUUCGUGGGAUCUGAAACCAGUCAACUCCGUGCUGCGUUGAAGCUGUACAGUGGGAACAUCCUUUGGGAGAGGACCUGAGUUCAGUUCCCAGCACCCACGUGACAGCUCACAAUGGUCUGUAAUGCCAGUCUUGAGAUCUGACUCCCUCUUCUGUCCUCUGUGAGCACCAAGCAGGGUUUCUCCGAAACCUGGCACUCGCUCUGGAACCAGGCUGGCCUCGAACUCACAGAGAUCUGCCUGCCUCUGCCUCCCGAGUGCUGGGUUUAAAGGCAUGCGCCACCAACGCCUGGCAGAAACCCAUCUUGAAAACACAAAAUGAGUAAGUAAAUGAAGAAGAAGAAGAAGAAGAAGAAGAAGAAGAAGAAGAAGAAGAAGAAGAAGAAGAAGAAGAAGAAGAAGAAGAAGAAUUUAACUUUCCUUGGCUGCAGGGGAAUCCAGCCUCUAAGGAUUGAGCCCCUUUCUCUUCACCCAGGGGAAAUUUUUUAAAAAAGAUUUUAUCUAUUAUGUACAACAUUCUGCUUCCAUGUAUAUCUGCACACCAGAAGAGGGCACCAGAUCUCAUAAUGGAUGGUUGCGAGCCACCAUGUGGUUGUUGGGAAUUGAACGAAGGACCUCUGAAAGAGCAG
ensembl:lncRNA